AACGAACGCUGGCGGCGGGCCUCAUACAUGCAAGUCGAGCGCGAAAGUCCGCAAGGAUGAGUAAAGCGGCGCACGGGUGAGUAACACGUGGAUAAUCUACCCUUUGGAUUGGAAUAACCUGUCGAAAGACGGGCUAAUGCCGAGUAAGCUCUCGGGAGCGUGAAGCUCUUGCGAGGAAAGAUGGCGCAAGCUAUCGCCGAUGGAUGAGUCUGCGUCCCAUUAGUUAGUUGGUGAGGUAACAGCUUACCAAGACGAUGAUGGGUACCUGGUCUGAGAGGAUGAUCAGGCACACUGGAACUGAAACACGGUCCAGACUCCUACGGGAGGCAGCAGUAGGGAAUAUUGCGCAAUGGACGAAAGUCUGACGCAGCCACGCCGCGUGAGUGAGGAAGGCCUUCGGGUUGUAAAGCUCUGUCAUCCGGGAAAAACGGCUAUCUGGG
rnacentral:rRNA from 1 species